rnacentral:rRNA from 1 species
CAGGCUUGACAUCCCUCUGUACCGUUCUAGAGAUAGAGCUUCCCUUCGGGGCACCGUGCUGACAGGUUGGUGCAUGGUUGUCUUCAGCUCGGGUCGUGAGAUGUUGGGUUAAGUCCCGCAACGAGCUCAACCCCUAUGUUGUGAUUCGCUACCAUUUAGUUGAUCACUUACAACUAGACUGCCAGGUGACAAACCGGAUGAAAGCGGGGAUGACGUCAAAUCAUCAUGCCCCUUAUGUCUUGUUCUACACACUUGCUACAAUGGAUUGUACAAAGGGUUGCGAACCCGAGAGGUGGAGCCUAUCCAUUAAAGCCGUUCCUAGUUCUGAUUGCAGGCUGCAACUCGCCUGUGUGAAGCCUGAAUUGCUAAUAAUCACGGAUCAACAUGCCGCGGUGAAUUCGUUCCC